rnacentral:rRNA from 1 species
AUUGAACGCUGGCGGCAUGCCUUACACAUGCAAGUCGAACGGCAGCGCGGGGCAACCUGGCGGCGAGUGGCGAACGGGUGAGUAACAUAUCGGAACAUACCCUAGAGUGGGGAUAACGUAGCGAAAGUUACGCUAAUACCGCAUACGCACUAAGGUGGAAAGUGGGGGAUCUUCGGACCUCAUGCUCAUGGAGUGGCCGAUAUCUGAUUAGUUAGUUGGUGAGGUAAAGGCUCACCAAGGCGACGAUCAGUAGCUGGUUUGAGAGAACGACCAGCCACACUGGAACUGAGACACGGUCCAGACUCCUACGGGAGGCAGCAGUGGGGAAUUUUGGACAAUGGGGGGCAACCCUGAUCCAGCAAUGCCGCGUGAGUGAAGAAGGCC